AUUGAACGCUGGCGGCAUGCCUUACACAUGCAAGUCGAACGGUAACAGGUCUUCGGAUGCUGACGAGUGGCGAACGGGUGAGUAAUACAUCGGAACGUGCCCGAUCGUGGGGGAUAACGGAGCGAAAGCUUUGCUAAUACCGCAUACGAUCUACGGAUGAAAGCAGGGGACCGCAAGGCCUUGCGCGGACGGAGCGGCCGAUGGCAGAUUAGGUAGUUGGUGGGAUAAAAGCUUACCAAGCCGACGAUCUGUAGCUGGUCUGAGAGGACGACCAGCCACACUGGGACUGAGACACGGCCCAGACUCCUACGGGAGGCAGCAGUGGGGAAUUUUGGACAAUGGGCGCAAGCCUGAUCCAGCCAUGCCGCGUGCAGGAUGAAGGCCUUCGGGUUGUAACUGCUUUGUACGGAACGAAAAGACUCUUUCUAUAAAGAGGUCCAUGACGGUACCGUAAGAAUAAGACACCGGCUAACUACGUGCCAGCAGCCGCGGUAACC
rnacentral:rRNA from 1 species